AGAGUUUGAUCCUGGCUCAGAUUGAACGCUGGCGGCAGGCCUAACACAUGCAAGUCGAGCGGUAGCACAGAGAGCUUGCUCUCGGGUGACGAGCGGCGGACGGGUGAGUAAUGUCUGGGAAACUGCCUGAUGGAGGGGGAUAACUACUGGAAACGGUAGCUAAUACCGCAUAACGUCGCAAGACCAAAGUGGGGACCUUCGGGCCUCAUGCCAUCAGAUGUGCCCAGAUGGGAUUAGCUAGUAGGUGGGGUAACGGCUCACCUAGGCGACGAUCCCUAGCUGGUCUGAGAGGAUGACCAGCCACACUGGAACUGAGACACGGUCCAGACUCCUACGGGAGGCAGCAGUGGGGAAUAUUGCACAAUGGGCGCAAGCCUGAUGCAGCCAUGCCGCGUGUGUGAAGAAGGCCUUCGGGUUGUAAAGCACUUUCAGCGGGGAGGAAGGCGAUAAGGUUAAUAACCUCAUCGAUUGACGUUACCCGCAGAAGAAGCACCGGCUAACUCCGUGCCAGCAGCCGCGGUAAUACGGAGGGUGCAAGCGUUAAUCGAAAUUACUGGGCGUAAAGCGCACGCAGGCGGUCUGUCAAGUCGGAUGUGAAAUCCCCGGGCUUAACCUGGGAACUGCAUUCGAAACUGGCAGGCUAGAGUCUUGUAGAGGGGGGUAGAAUUCCAGGUGUAGCGGUGAAAUGCGUAGAGAUCUGGAGGAAUACCGGUGGCGAAGGCGGCCCCCUGGACAAAGACUGACGCUCAGGUGCGAAAGCGUGGGGAGCAAACAGGAUUAGAUACCCUGGUAGUCCACGCCGUAAACGAUGUCGAUUUGGAGGUUGUGCCCUUGAGGCGUGGCUUCCGGAGCUAACGCGUUAAAUCGACCGCCUGGGGAGUACGGCCGCAAGGUUAAAACUCAAAUGAAUUGACGGGGGCCCGCACAAGCGGUGGAGCAUGUGGUUUAAUUCGAUGCAACGCGAAGAACCUUACCUGGUCUUGACAUCUACAGAACUUUCCAGAGAUGGAUUGGUGCCUUCGGGAACUGUGAGACAGGUGCUGCAUGGCUGUCGUCAGCUCGUGUUGUGAAAUGUUGGGUUAAGUCCCGCAACGAGCGCAACCCUUAUCCUUUGUUGCCAGCGGUCCGGCCGGGAACUCAAAGGAGACUGCCAGUGAUAAACUGGAGGAAGGUGGGGAUGACGUCAAGUCAUCAUGGCCCUUACGACCAGGGCUACACACGUGCUACAAUGGCAUAUACAAAGAGAAGCGACCUCGCGAGAGCAAGCGGACCUCAUAAAGUAUGUCGUAGUCCGGAUUGGAGUCUGCAACUCGACUCCAUGAAGUCGGAAUCGCUAGUAAUCGUAGAUCAGGAUGCUACGGUGAAUACGUUCCCGGGCCUUGUACACUCCGCCC
rnacentral:rRNA from 1 species